CUGGCCAAGCCAGUGACAGCCUUUCCAAGGAACGUGGGCAGGCUGAGCAGCCCUGGCCCCAGGUCCCCCGUGGGCCUGCCAGGAGGCAUGCCGCUGUGUCAGGGAGGCUGUCCCUGGGGGCAUGUGGGUAGCCAGUGAGGGGGGUCACUGCCCCCAGCUCGGCGAUGGAUGUAUUCAAGGCUGGGGCAUCUCCAGCCGCCAGGCCCUGGAGCUUUGCGGGUGCAUCAGGGUUCCAGACCGCCCAGGUUUGAACAGCGCUGCCAUGCACGUCUGUCGACUUCGGCGAAUGGCUCCUCCUCACUCUCCCCAUCUGCGGCAUGAGCACCAUCAAAGCCCCGGGUGACGCAGCUCCAGGGAGCCUGCAGCAGGUGCCUCCCGGCUGCCCUGACCUCCACGUCCCGGGCUACACCGGCCACUCUGGGUGCUCAUCACUGGAGGGUGGGAGCCCAGAGUCCUGCUCACAGUCAAGUGUCCUUGUGGUCUGGAGACCCAGAGCUCUCCCAGAAUCGACCUGAAGAAUCUCAUUCUCGGCUCCCCAGGGAGCGCCACUGCCUGUCCUGGUUCCAGAGGCUGCUCUGCUUCCCGGGAGGAAGAGCCUAGUGACCUGAUUUCACCCGAGCCCCAAGGAGGGGCCCGGCAAGGUGAGGAAAGCCUGGGGGAGCUGGAUCGGGUGCCGGCUGCAGGGCCGCAGGCUGGACCCUGCUAGGACAGCCACCAGUGGUGGGACAGCUGAGCCCACACCUGCUUGAAACCAGCCAGGGCAGGUGGCAAAGGGCAGGCUGGACCCUCAGCCUCGGACCUCGCCCAGGGAACCAGGAGACGCCUCACAGGAGUGGCUCGCACCUGCCGCUCUGGGACUCCCUGGACCU